AUGGCCUUUUUUAAAUAAGAGGGCCCAAUUAAGACUAAAACGAUGGCCUUAGUUGCACAAAACCAGUGUCGGCGGCCAUGGUGGGAGUGUUGGAACUUCACGUCGCUCUUCAACGUUCACAUCUCGGACCUUUGAUUUUCUAGAGGCAGCCGGGAUGAAGGUAGAUCCGCGCCUGAUUCUGGCGGUAGCGGCAGCUGCAGUGGCGGCGUUUUCUUGUUUGGGUGCGGUGAUAUUAGUGGUUUAAUUUUGGAUCUCAUGAACAAAAGCUAUUUCUGGAGAAAAGCAAGAUAAACUAAUGGAUGAUGAUGAUGAACAUGACAAGCUGAAGAACAGUCAGCAAUGCAGAUAAAGCGGAACAAUCAAAGUGCAAAGUCGGUGGAAAUAAUCGAGCUAAGUGAUGAUGACGAACCUCUUUGACUUAAGUUUAUCCAUAUAGAUUAUAGACGACCUUAAGCCAAGGAGGUUUUCUGGUGUAUACUUUCUUGGUGGAGUAGUCGUACCUUGCUCGUCAUCAUGACUUAACUCAAUUAUUUCCACCGACUUUGCACUUUGAUUGUUCCGCGUUACCUGCAUUGAUGUUGCACUUUAACUGCUCUUCAGCUUGUCGUGUUCAUCAUCCGUAUAGGCAACCUUUACCAAUAGAGGGUGCUGCGGGUUGCACCUCCAAAGACAGCAAUGAGUAAUGUCCUCCGAAAGAUCCAUCAUUGUUGAUUGAUAAUAUAAAGUUCAGCUCAAGUUCUUUGUCUCCCUAAUUGUUCUUUUCAUUCUAUGAAUAAUUUAUCCUGAUGCUAUAUUGAUGUUCAAGUUAUGUGCAUCAAACUUUGGGGAAUCUUCAAGUUUCAGAAGGUCUUGCAAAGUGAAGAAAUGUUGAGCUUUAGCACUCUUUCUAAUGGUAUUGAUUAGUGUUGAUUUUUAAUUCUAUAUUUUAUUAAUUUCUAAAUAAACAGAACAUAGAUAAAACUCUUUUAGAAAUAGGUUAUUUUUUAUUUUAUAUGAAUGUAUGGUUAUGUAUAUACAAAAAAUAAAAAUUGUAAUGAAGAUCAUAUUGUGAGUGUUUAUUGUUGUA